rnacentral:rRNA from 1 species
ACCAGACUCCUACGGGAGGCAGCAGUGGGGGAUAUUGCACAAUGGGGGGAACCCUGAUGCAGCGACGCCGCGUGGGUGAAGGAGUAUUUCGGUAUGUAAAGCCCUAUCGGCAGGGAAGAAGGAGGACGGUACCUGACUAAGAAGCCCCGGCUAACUACGUGCCAGCAGCCGCGGUAAUACGUAGGGGGCAAGCGUUAUCCGGAUUUACUGGGUGUAAAGGGGGCGCAGACGGCAGCGCAAGCCAGGAGUGAAAGCCCGGGGCCCAACCCCGGGACUGCUCUUGGAACUGCGCGGCUGGAGUGCAGGAGGGGCAGGCGGAAUUCCUGGUGUAGCGAUGAAAUGCGUAGAUAUCAGGAGGAACUCCGGUGGCGAAGGCGGCCUGCUGGACUGCGACUGACGUUGAGGCCCGAAAGCGUGGGGAGCAAACAGGAUUAGAUACCCGUGUAA